AGCUCUGGGUGGCUUCUUAGACUCUCACAGUGACCGAGCCUUAGUUCUUUGCUCAGAACAGAAGUUCCCCUCAGGAAAGACCAGAGGACAGGCUGUUCUCAGUUCUCCUUUUCUGGGUCACUCGCCUCUUCACCCACAGGCUGAGAGAAUUUGGAUUUGCUGCUCCAACUGGAAUCAGUGGAUUAGUCAGUAGAUUAUAGCUGAAUGGGACAAGGGAGGUGGGCCCCCGGGGGUGGUGUGUGUGUGGCCUGGAAAGGUCUGCCUCCUUUCUUCUCUCUCUGCUUCCUGCCUGCCAUGCCACGAGCAAUUCUCUGCCAUGGCAUCCUGCCUCAGAGCCACUGGACCAUGGGCUGAAACCUCUCCAGGUGUGAGGCAGAUUAAACCUCUCCUCCUUCAGGUGUGGGUGUUGGGUAUUGUGUCUCAGUGCCGAGGAACGUGACUUGGGCAUACAUCUUUCCCUCCUCUCCUGCAAAUGGACCAUUUCAGGCAAAAGGACUUGGAACAGGACCCUCUAGAUGCCCGGGAAACCAGCUGUCGGCCUGCCCUCAUCUCUGCUCCGAGGCUGGCAGAUGCCCAGGGGAUCCAUUUUACAGCCACUCUGUUUUUCUCCCAGUGCUGGAGUUCUGCGUGCUUCAUCUUGAGCAAAGUACUUCUCACGGGCCUUGGCAAAUAACUGACUGUAAUUCAUGAGGCUGGGAGGUUGCUGUCCCCGGAGCUCUAUUUCUCCGACUGAAUAGCUCACCCCCGAGUGAGAUCACGGAAGGAACAAUCUAAUGCGUACCCAUAGAAGCCAGCAUGGUGGAACAGUUAGGAACUGAGGUUCUGGAGUCAGAUUGCUGUACUCAGGUUCUGCUGUUUGCUAAAGAACUUUGCUGUUCAUUAUGAGAACUUGAACUUCUCUGUUUCUCUACUUACCUACUUCUAGAGAGUGUGAUGCCAAAAUUGAUUGGUGGUAUAAUGUUAGGCCUAAGGGUAUAGGAUUAAGGGUGUGAGCGCUAUCUGUUUUAAAUAGUCUAGCUAAGACAAACGGGGCAGAAAGAUACUGUUUUUGGUUUUUUUUGUUGCUUUUGCUACCUUGCAGGCACCAUGAUCUGUACUCUGCCACGCCCCUCUGCCAAGCCACCUUGCCCUGGAGCCAGCCAAUUAUGGACAGAAAUCUCUACCAACUGUGCCCUAAAUAAACCUUUGCUCCUUUAAUUUUUGGGUGUCAGGUAUUUUGUCUCAGCAAACGAGAAAAUAACUAAGACACUCUAACUCAAAAAAUGAGGGGAAAAAUCAUGACAAAAUAAAUUCAAGCAAAGCAGGAGUUAAUUAGUAAGGAAAAAAGCAAAAUUUUUAAUUAUUUAGAAAAUAAAAGGAAGUAUUAAGUUAAAAAUGAAUUUAAUAGGGAAACACUGGCUAUUUGAUUCUAGGAAAUGAAGAUAGUUCAAACAUGC
ensembl:lncRNA